GAUGAAGAACGCAGCGAAACGCGAUAGGUAAUGUGAAUUGCAGAAUUCCGUGAAUCAUCGAGUCUUUGAACGCACAUUGCGCCCCCUGGUAUUCCGGGGGGCAUGCCUGUCCGAGCGUCAUUGCUGCCCUCAAGCACGGCUUGUGUGUUGGGCCGCCGUCCCCGGUUUCCCCCGGGGACGGGCCCGAAAGGCAGCGGCGGCACCGCGUCCGAUCCUCGAGCGUAUGGGGCUUUGUCACCCGCUCUGUAGGCCCGGCCGGCGCCAGCCGACACCCAACUUUAUUUCUAAGGUUGACCUCGGAUCAGGUAGGGAUACCCGCUGAACUUAAGCAUAUCAAUAAGCGGAGGA
rnacentral:misc_RNA from 1 species